GAUGAACGCUAGCUACAGGCUUAACACAUGCAAGUCGAGGGGAAACGGCAUCGAAAGCUUGCUUUUGAUGGGCGUCGACCGGCGCACGGGUGAGUAACGCGUAUCCAACCUGCCCAUCACUUGGGAAUAACCUUGCGAAAGUAAGACUAAUGCCCAAUGACAUCCCACGAAGGCAUCCGAAUGGGAUUAAAGAUUUAUCGGUGAUGGAUGGGGAUGCGUCUGAUUAGCUUGUUGGCGGGGUGACGGCCCACCAAGGCAACGAUCAGUAGGGGUUCUGAGAGGAAGGUCCCCCACAUUGGAACUGAGACACGGUCCAAACUCCUACGGGAGGCAGCAGUGAGGAAUAUUGGUCAAUGGGCGAGAGCCUGAACCAGCCAAGUAGCGUGCAGGAUGACGGCCCUAUGGGUUGUAAACUGCUUUUAUAAGGGAAUAAAGUGGGUCACGUGUGACUUUUUGCAUGUACCUUAUGAAUAAGGACCGGCUAAUUCCGU
rnacentral:rRNA from 1 species